ensembl:lncRNA
UGAUGAUGAUGAAGCCUGAAGGCAAGUUCCUGCUGCAGAGAUCAUCAUCCUCUUGUGAACCUCUGAACAGGUCACACAAGCUCCAGAUUCCUCAGCUCCCAACAGAGAAAGGCCCAUUCUGCCGAAGUUUUUGGUGCGGCUCCUUCGAUGGAAUCCGUAUGAGCCCGGCCAAUCACGUCGCGGAUUCAGAAAUUCCAAAGCCAAUCGUCUGCGUGAUUCCAUCUUUCAGCAGCGAAUCGGAGAUCUUUCAAAAGAAACUGUAAAGUCAAACUUUCCAAAAGCCAAUCGAUUGUGCGACUAAUUUCUGGACAGCAAAUUAAACUGCGGUCUCAAUCUUUAGAAAAGCCAAUCGAUUCUAGAGUUUUUUAGAAUUUAAAAAUCUGCCCGCUGCUUAUUCCGGACAUGUUACAUUCAGUAGGGUGUUUACAGGGGGCAUAACAAUGCUUUUUUGGGAUGUUUAAGGUACCUAGUGUGUUUUCUGCUUUAAUGAAUUAUUGCAGGCAACAUUAGAGAAUGCUGGAAAGAAAAAUAUUAAAAUCCUUGAACAGCACUACUCAAAGAGCACUUAUUUCAUUACUUUGGGCAAAACUGCAGCAAUAAUAAGAAACAACAUUGACACUUUCGACUUUAUUUUGGUUGUGUGUGAUUUUCUGGGAGGACUAGUGUUUGAUUUCAUAUUAAAACAUUGGUUUAACUUCAACCUGGAUCGGUUGGGCUCUGUCAGUGGGUCAUGAAGAUAAAUGGUCUGUUCCUCACCUGAAGAAUGGCACUACAUGUAUCAGGAGGUAAGAUUGUUCUGGGUUUUGGAAUCUUCAACUAACCAAAACACCCUAACGUAGUUACGUACUGUAGUGUACGUGAUGUCAUCAGUGCGCGACCCCCUUCGGCUCCUUCGAUUACCCGAUGAGCGCAAAGCUGGAUAAACCCAGCCAGUCGUCUGCGCGAUUCAAUCUUUCGACAGUGUUCCCCGGCUUAAAUUAAACUGCGGUCUCAAUCUUUGGAAAAGCCAAUCGAUCCUAGAGUUUAUUUAGAAUUUAAAAUCUGCCCGCUGUUUAUUCCGGACACCUCCGUGGAUUUUGACAAGGAGUUUAUGGGUUGACUGAUUGGAUGACGUCACUUCUGGAUAGACGACAUCCGGGGUCAUUUUCACCUGUUCAGAGGUUCACAAGAGGAUGAUGAUCUCUGCAGCAGGAACUUGUCUUCAGGCUUCAUCAUCAUCAUCACUCAGUUAUAGGGACCCCCAUCACCCCUGUUCCAGCCUCUCAGCGUCCAGGGUCAGCUGUUGGAGCAGGUCCAGGCCUUGAAGUGUCCGGGGACAGAGGUGGACACCUGCCAUCAUCACAGAAACUGUGAUGAUCCUUCAAGAUUUCAUCCAUGAUCAAACAUAAAACGACCCACACUCUCUCUCUCUCUCACACACUCACCCUCAUCUUCUCACACACCUACACAGUGAAAGACGUGUUCAGCAUCCUUCGGUAGCUCAGCGGUAGAGCGGAGGACUGUAGGGGACCAUCACAGGAAUCCUUAGGUCGCUGGUUCAAAUCCGGCUCGAAGGAAGGCCUUUUGUGUGACCUGCUGAUGUCACUCCUGCUCUGACACUGUCAAAAACAGCUUCCUGGAGCAGCAAAUGUCUUCAGAAACUCACCUCACUCAUUCCACAGGAGACGAAGUGAGUCUGAGUGACUCGCAGGAGCCGAACCUUCAGACAGUGAAUGUUCAUAUUUCACAACACCACGAUGUCACAUUUGACCUGGCUUCUCUGGAGCAGAACACUAACAACAGCUCCUGGGUUGCUGGUUUGAAUCUGGCCUGAUGGGAAACCUUUUGUUGCCAAUAGAAUGUAUAAUGAGAUCAAAGGUGCUGUUUGGCCCUCAGGGGCCUGGAGUCAGCUCCCUCCUCCCCACUGGACGGCUCGUUUUUGAUGUUUGAUUGUUUCUGUGCAACAUGUAAAACCUUCACGCUGGAUUUGAACUGGCAACUCAAAGAGCCCUGUUACAGAGGCACAACAGGCCUCUGCUAUCUGCUCUGCUCUGGCUGUUGUUGACAGUGUGAUGGUCAGAGCAGGAGUGACAUCAGCAGGUCACACAAAAGGCCUUCCUUCGAGCCGGAUUUGAACCAGCGACCUAAGGAUUCCUGUGAUGGUCCCCUACAGUCCUCCGCUCUACCGCUGAGCUACCGAAGGAUGCUGAACACGUCGUUCACUGUGUAGGUGUGUGAGAAGAUGAGGCUGAGUGAGAAGGUGUGUGUGUCUGUGUGUGAGGGUGAGUGUGUGUGACAGAGUGUGGGUCGAUUUAUGUUUGAUCAUGGAUGAAAUCUUGAAGGAUCAUCACAGAAACUGUGAUGAUCAGUGUUGAAUUAUUGCUGCUGACGCUCUGAGUUUUUGAUGAUGAUGAAGCCUGAAGGCAAGUUCCUGCUGCAGAGAUCAUCAUCCUCUUGUGAACCUCUGAACAGGUAUAAAUGAACCCGGAUGUCGUCUAUCCAGAAGUGACGUCAUCCAAUCAGUCAACCCAUAAACGUGGGUACGUGACGUCAUCAGUGCGCGACCCACUACGGCGCCUUCGAUAGCUCAGCGGUAGAGCGGAGGACUGUAGCGGGUCGGUCACAGGAAUCCUUAGGUCGCUGGUUCAAAUCCGGCUCGAAGGAGAAUUUAUUGUAACCAAAUGAGUCCUUUUGAUCGCGGAAACUUGAUUAAUGUGACAUCAUCAGAUCGAGAUUAUGGAUCAGCUUCCACUCAGUGAUAUU